rnacentral:rRNA from 1 species
CAGCCCCGGAUCCCAUGGCGCCCGCCGGAGGACCAACUUCCAAACUCUUUUUUUUCUCCGUCGCGGCUCCCGUCGCGGCUCUGUUUUAUUUUUGCUCUGAGCCUUUCUCGGCGACCCUAGCGGGCGUCUCGAAAAUGAAUCAAAACUUUCAACAACGGAUCUCUUGGUUCUGGCAUCGAUGAAGAACGCAGCGAAAUGCGAUAAGUAAUGUGAAUUGCAGAAUUCAGUGAAUCAUCGAAUCUUUGAACGCACAUUGCGCCCGCCAGUAUUCUGGCGGGCAUGCCUGUCCGAGCGUCAUUUCAACCCUCGAACCCCUCCGGGGGGUCGGCGUUGGGGAUCGGCCCCUCACCGGGCCGCCCCCGAAAUACAGUGGCGGUCUCGCCGCAGCCUCUCAUGCGCAGUAGUUUGCACACUCGCACCGGGAGCGCGGCGCGGCCACAGCCGUAAAACACCCCAAAUUUUCUGAAAUGUUGACCUCGGAUCAGGUAGGAAUACCCGCUGAACUUAAGCAUAUCAAUAAGCGGAGGAAAAGAAACCAACAGGGAUUGCCCCAGUAACG